rnacentral:rRNA from 1 species
AUUGAACGCUAGCGGGAUGCCUUACACAUGCAAGUCGAACGGAGUGGCGAACGGGUGAGUAAUGUAUCGGAACGUGCCCAGUAGCGGGGGAUAACUACGCGAAAGCGUAGCUAAUACCGCAUACUAUUGGAGCGGCCGAUAUCGGAUUAGCUAGUUGGGGGGGUAACGGCUCACCAAGGCGACGAUCCAUAGCUGGCUUGAGAGGACGACCAGCCACACUGGGACUGAAACACGGACCAGACUCCUACGGGAGGCAGCAGUGAGGAAUCUUGGACAAUGGGGGAAACCCUGAUCCAGCCAGCACGCGUGUGCGAUGAAGGCGUUCGAGUUGUAAAGCACUUUUGGCAGGUAGGCGGUACCUGCAGAAUAAGCACCGGCUAACUACGUGCCAGCAGCCGCGGUAAUAC